rnacentral:rRNA from 1 species
GAUGAACGCUGGCGGCGUGCCUAAUACAUGCAAGUCGAGCGAACAGACGAGGAGCUUGCUCCUCUGACGUUAGCGGCGGACGGGUGAGUAACACGUGGAUAACCUACCUAUAAGACUGGGAUAACUUCGGGAAACCGGAGCUAAUACCGGAUAAUAUCUUGAACCGCAUGGUUCAAUAGUGAAAGACGGUUUUGCUGUCACUUAUAGAUGGAUCCGCGCCGCAUUAGCUAGUUGGUACGGUAACGGCUUACCAAGGCGACGAUGCGUAGCCGACCGGAGAGGGUGAUCGGCCACACUGGAGCUGAGACACGGUCCAGACUCCUACGGGAGGCAGCAGUAGGGAAUCUUCCGCAAUGGGCGAAAGCUUGACGGAGCAACGCCGCGUGAGUGAUGAAGGUCUUCGGAGCGUAAAACUCUGUUAUUAGGGAAGAACAAAUGUGUAAGUAACUAUGCACGUCUUGACGGUACCUAAUCAGAAAGCCACGGCUAACUACGUG